UUAAGCACUAUGUUGAGCAUGCUGGACCCCAACGUGGUACCCGUGAAACCGCCUCCUUUUCUGGAUGCUGCAGGUUCUAUCAUGUGGGUUAGAGCGUCGGCAUCAUCAGUUUGACCAUACUGUCCUGAUCCAUGGUCAAUUCCUUUGAAUGUUCAAACGCACAAAAGUCAGAAGCAUCAAUCAGAUUGCUGUAGUUGAUACAAGCGGCCCCACCCUUAUUGUUACUAGUCUUAAUUGCUGGCAUAGCGUUCUGAUUAUCUGAUCAAAGUGUGUCACCUCUACCGGACUUUCUGGACCUCAGGUGGGCGUAAAAGGCUGACUUUGAGUCUUUGACUGCCUGUGAGGCAAUGCACCGGCAUGAUUACAGGCUUACAGCAGUUGUCCCUGCAACCAUUUUCAGUUCUUUAAGAAGUUGAAAUCCCCGUAGCAUUCUUAUUGAGACAGACAAGCACCGGAAAUAGAUGCUUGUUUCGGUCAUCAGCCGGUGCUACCAUCUCCGAAACCAUGGUUCCUGCUCCUCCAACACACCUUGCCACCGUCUCCUUCCUCACCUUUCUCGCGCUAGUCUCGAGUGCUGCGAGUCGGGACAUUCUGCAACUGGGAUCCUCCCUUGCUGUCGAGGCCUACCAGAGUGACAUCCUGCAGUCACCGGACGGCACCUUCUCCUGCGGCUUCUACAGCAUCUAUGACUACGCCUUCACCUUCUCAGUAUGGUACUCCAGGGCAGCCAGCAAGACCGUUGUCUGGAGCGCGAACCGCGACCGCCCCAUCCACUCCAGGAGGGCGGCCCUGACAUUGCGCAAGGACGGCAACAUGGUGCUCAGAGACUACGACGACACCAUGGUGUGGCAAGCUGCUGAUUACCUCAGAAAUGUUCAGCAUGCUCAGCUGCUGGACACCGGGAAUCUCGUCGUGAAGAACACCAGCGGCAGCAUAGUAUGGCAGAGUUUCGAUUCACCGACAGACACGCUCCUGCCGUCCCAGCUCAUCACCGCUGCGACACAGUUGGUCCCGACGACCCAGUCGCGUGCUCCUGGUAACUACAUCUUCCGUUUCAAUGAUAUAUCGAUGCUGUCACUCAUAUACAAUGUUCCUGAUGUCUCGGAUAUAUACUGGCCAAACCCUGAUAUAAGCGUCUUCGACAAUAACAGAAGCCGGUAUAACAGUACUAGAUUGGGGAGUUUAGGCAACAAUGGAGUCCUUUCAUCUAGUGAUUUUGCUGAUGGACUACUACUUAAGGCCUCUGAUGCAGCGGUGCCGGGGACCAAGAGAAGGCUAACUCUCGACCCUGAUGGUAAUCUCCGGAUGUACAGCCUGGAUGACUCAGAUGGGGUGUGGUCAGUUUCAAUGGUAGCAAUAUCCCAGCCUUGCGCCAUCCAUGGCAUAUGCGGUCAGAAUGGAAUCUGCCAUUACUCGCCUAAACCUACGUGCUCAUGCCCACCAGGUUACGUGAUGACCAAUCCAGGUAACUGGACUGAAGGCUGCACAGCUACUUUCAAAUUAACUUGUGGUGAUCAGGAACCUGUGCAGUUCGUGAAGCUCCCCGACACUGAUUUCUGGGGAUCUGAUCAGAAGCGUCUUCUGGGAGUCUCCUUGGAGGCUUGUAUGGACAGUUGCAUUAGUGACUGCACCUGCAAAGGCUUCCAGUACCUGCAAGGCAAAGGGUCAUGCUACCCGAAAUCCCUUCUUUUCAAUGGAAUGAGUUGUGCAACACCUAUGGUGCGAGCAAUAUAUCUCAAGCUUCCUGCCAGGUUCAAUGUAUCAGAUACACCUAUUCCUCAGUCCAAUGUGUUGGAUCUGGCACCGCCUACCCUGCACUGCGACCAGAUGAGCCGAGGAGUCAGACACCCAUUUCCGGAUGUAAAAGAAACCACUGAUGGAGAACCAAAGUGGAUCUACUUCUUCAGUUUCAUAGUUGCAAUUUUUGUUAUUGAGGUUUCCUUCAUAGCAUUUGCAUGGUUCUUUGUCUUUAGAAGAGAGAUGGGGCCAUCAGAGGUGUGGGUAGCCGAGGAAGGUUACAAGGUGAUGACUAGCCAUUUUCGAAGAUACAGUUACAGAGAGCUCGCGAAGGCAACAAGAGAGUUCAGAGUUGAGCUAGGAAGGGGAAGAUCAGGCGCUGUGUACAAAGGUGUCCUAGAAGAUGAAAGGCCAGUGGCUGUGAAGAAGCUCAAAAAUAUAAGUCGAGGCAAGGAAGAGUUUCAAGCUGAACUGAGCAUCAUUGGCAGGAUUAACCACAUGAAUCUGGCAAGAAUAUGGGGGUUUUGCUCAGAAGGGUCACACAGGCUGUUGGUUUGUGAGUAUGUGGAGAAUGGGUCCCUGGCAAAUAUUUUGUUCAGAGACCAAAAAACUUUCGUCCUGGACUGGAAGCAAAGGUUUAAUAUUGCAUUAGGUGUGGCCAAAGGAUUGGCCUAUCUUCACCAUGAGUGCUUAGAAUGGGUCAUCCAUUGUGAUGUGAAACCUGAGAACAUACUGCUGGACACAGACUUUGAGCCUAAGAUCACCGACUUCGGAUUGGCGAAGUUGCUAAGCAGAGCUGGAUCCAAUCAGAACAUGUCGCAGGUGCGAGGAACAGUAGGUUACAUAGCUCCCGAGUGGGUUUCUGGCCUCCCAAUCACAGCAAAAGUUGAUGUGUACAGUUAUGGAGUUGUGCUGCUUGAGCUUUUAUCUGGGACAAGAGUUUCGGAGCUGGCUGUCGGUUCAGACGCAGAGGUGCACAGCAUGCUCGGGAAGCUUGUCAGGGCGCUCUCUGAUAAACUGGAGGGACAUGAAGAAUCAUGGGUUGGUGAAUUUGUAGACCAGGAAUUGAGUGGACCGUUCAACUAUCUGCAAGCAAAAACGGUGAUCGAGUUGGCUGUUUCUUGCUUGCAGGAAGAUAGAAACAAGAGGCCGACCAUGGAAUCUAUAGUCCAGACUCUCCUAUCGUUUGAUGAAGCUAGUGAUUAGUGCUUCGACUACAACUGUUUGUGGAAUGUGUGGAUAGGGUCUGCAGGAAUCAUAUUUUUUUAGGUAAGUAGUCCUAGAAGUUAUCGAGGUAAAAAGAAAGACGCUGAAGGGUGUCAACAGAAUCUAGUGUGCUAUCACCACAGACGCCGGGAGAAGCUAAACCACUUCGCCAGAAGAUGCCCUUCUUGGCUAGCUACCUACACACUUGGUGAAGAACAGAGCUCAGGUAGAUCACAACUAUUUUUUUUAUGUUUGCCUCCUGCAUGUGUGAUCUUGCUAAAUAUAUAAGGAAGCCAGUUAUCUAUGUCAGUUUUAUUAUUGAUGUAGUGAAAAUCCUCGGUUGAAUAUAUAGAAUCCAAACUGGGAACCCCUGAAAAUGAUUAACUGGCUAAUUGUAUCAUCAAUGAGGAAUAGGUUUGUAUCUUUAAUUCCAGUGGCACAUCUAUGAGAUACUUCUUAUGAAUUUCAGUCGGUCCUUGGCCAGCUUAUGUGUUUUGAACUGAAACGAAAAGUCUUCUGAAGCGUCUGAGAGUAAAUACCAGUGAAGUCCUAGUUCAACUUAACUGUUACAGAAUUUCUUUGAGCCAUACAAUCGUCCAUGAAAGCAAGCACAUAAAAGACUAUCGCGAAGCUCACGGCUACCGGAAACAAUACUGAGACAGCAGCUGGCCAACCUGCCCUCUAGGCCGCUAUAACAGAACACUGGUUCCUUGGUUGGUCCACAUCGAAUCCACGAAGAACAGUAACAUGGUAUGCGAGCAAUUGUAGUAGAAAUAACAAACAUUCUUCAGUAACGAAAUUCCAAAAAAAAAAUGAGAUGGUGCAAGAGUAGGUUUUGGGGUUCGAGAAAAAAAGAAGAUAAUACAGUUUGGACGAGCUUGUAAUGGAAUAAUGUUGAGCACUGACUGUAGACAAUCAGCAACCUGUGGAACUUCAAUCACUCAAGAUCCACUGGGACUGACAGCAGAUGCAUCUCCCUUUGAUCAAAUGACAAUCAGAGAGAAAGGAGCUGCUCGAUCACCGAGGGCAUCUCCACUAGUAUGCCCCAAAUAGGCCCCGGCUGCGCUGUACGGGGCGUGCCGGCAGGAAGUCCUUAGUUUAGGGAUGGAAAUGUC